rnacentral:rRNA from 1 species
GAUGAACGCUAGCGGCAGGCCUAAUACAUGCAAGUCGAACGGGAUUAAGAGGCUUGCUUCUUAUGAGAGUGGCGCACGGGUGCGUAACACGUAUGCAACCUACCUUCAACUGGGGGAUAGCCUUCCGAAAGGGAGAUUAAUACCGCAUACUAUAAUUGAGUGGCAUCACUUGAUUAUCAAACGUCAGGGUUGAAGAUGGGCAUGCGUCCGAUUAGUUGGUUGGUGAGGUAACGGCUCACCAAGACUACGAUCGGUAGGGGAUCUGAGAGGAUGGCCCCCCACACUGGUACUGAGGCACGGACCAGACUCCUACGGGAGGCAGCAGUAAGGAAUAUUGGUCAAUGGACGGAAGUCUGAACCAGCCAUGCCGCGUGCAGGAAGACGGUCCUCUGGAUUGUAAACUGCUUUUGUUAGGGAAGAAACUUCCGUACGUGUACGGGACUGACGGUACCUAAAGAAUAAGGAUCGGCUAACUUCGUGCCAGCAGCCGCCGUAAAAC